UCUGGUGGCGAUAGCGAAGAGGUCACACCCGUUCCCAUACCGAACACGGAAGUUAAGCUCUUCAGCGCCGAUGGUAGUUGGGGGUUUCCCCCUGUGAGAGUAGGACGUCGCCAGGC
rnacentral:rRNA from 1 species